rnacentral:lncRNA from 1 species
CUGGGGAUCAAAGCGAAAGUAAAGUGCAUCGUCCUAAGCUGUCUUUUUUAUGAAACCAGAAACAUCUUAACACCUAGUUUUGUUAAUUUAGAUUUUCUGGAUGGAACGUCAUUUAGAUGAAAUAUGACCAUACAUUUCCAUUUAGUUUGGUCCAGAUGCAAAGACCAAAGUUAUCUAAACCCAGCUGUGUGCCUAUGAGGGGUGUCUGGUCAGUGGAUCUGCCUCAAAACUUAAGUGGACACAAAGAUCCUAUGUUUAGCUUGGACCUGCCAGAACCCAGCUGUGUGUCCAUGAAGAGUGACUGGUCGAUGGAACCUCCACGUAACUUUAGUGGACAUACUGAAUUUGGGUUUAGGUAAAUGCUGCACCAAACUGUUUAUCUUAUCUGUAUUGAAACAAAAAGAAAUUCUUCAAAUUUAAUGCCGUAAAGGGCCUUUACAGUGCCUGUAUGCAAUGCAUUUUAGAUGAAGAUCAAUUAAAGAUUAAAGUACAAAUUAAGAUUAAAGUACCCUAUAAUGCAAUUUCGAAAGCUUCCUUGUUUUUUUUUUUUUUUUUUUUAGACUAUCUAUAGGUUUACAUACAUCCAGUACAAAACAAAACAAACAAACAAACAAACAAACAAAAUAUUAUUUUAUUUAUUUGUCAUAGACUGUAGAUGAGUAGAAUUUGGGUUUAGGUAAAUGCUGCACCAAACUGUUUAUCUUAUCUGUAUUGAAACAAAAAGAAAUUCUUCAAAUUUAAUGCCGUAAAGGGCCUUUACAGUGCCUGUAUGCAAUGCAUUUUAGAUGAAGAUCAAUUAAAGAUUAAAGUACAAAAUUAAGAUUAAAGUACCCUAUAAUGCAAUUUCGAAAGCUCCUGUUUUUUUUUUUUUUUUUUAGACAUCUAUAGGUUUACAUACAUCCAGUCAAAACAAAACAAACAAACAAACAAACAAACAAAAAUAUAUUUUAUUUUAUUUGUCAUAGACUGUAGAUGAGAUGUUAUUAUUGUGUAAUUCCUCUACAUUGAGGGAACAGCAAAGCAAAGAAACCCGACAUUCCUGAAUGAGAUCUACACAGAUCUCUACAUCACACAGAGUGAGAGUGGAGAGAUCAAUAAUGAGCAUGAGGUGAGACAGAUUGAAACACAAUACAGGAGAGCAUCAACAGAGGACACACCAAUCAAAUGCAGUGACAUCUUUAGACCUUUACCUGGACAAGACAAACCCAUCAGAACUGUGCUGACAAACGGAGUCGCCGGCAUUAGGAAAAACAGUCUCUGUGCAGAAGUUCAUCCUGGACUGGGCUGAAGGAAAAGAGAAUCAGGACGUCUAGCUCAUAUUUCCCCUUC